ensembl:lncRNA
GCUGCACAAUAUUUUUGUGGAAACCUUUUAUUAUUUAGGAUUCACGGAUGAAUAGAAGGUUCAAAAGAACAGAAAUCUUUUCUAACAUUAUAAAUGUCUUCACUGUCACUUUUGAUCUGUUUAAUGCAUCCUUACUGAAGGGUAAUACUGUACAUCACUGUAUGAGUUUUGUGAAAUGAUCCUCUGGCAGUCAGACGUCAGCCAGAGCUCAAAAUACCAGCUCAACCAGUGCUGCUAUUUGCAGACAAAACUUGGCCCAGUCACUGCUGGCCUUUCCGUUCAGAAAGAGACGAUCUGAAGGUAUGUUUGCUGCUAUAACUUUACGCACCACCCGUCUAGUUUGACUUCCCUAAAUAGGCACCACUUAAUGAAUGUCUGAGGAGCAUUUUCAGUGGCACGUCUCCGUUAACCAACCACAAAUCAGCUGGUUAUUUAUGCACACGGACCUGGAGACGUUUACUGGAUCCGUGCGGUUAAAAUAGCAUCUACAAACUGUGGGAGCCCAGUCACAAACUCAACCGUCUCGGUUUAAAAGCUGUUUUUUUAACACACCGCCCACCUUAACAGGACACACGUGGAGAGAGACGGAGAGAGAAGCGAGGUGGAGAGUUACUAAUGUCAGGAGUCCAUUUGAAAGCAUUAGUUUCCCGUCUACACCUACACACAAACACGUAAACAAGUUCACACGUUUCCCAGUGACUAAGACGCACUAAAUGCUGAAUACACACGCUAAUGUCAAAGUUUUUUGCUCUCUAGAGGACAUUCUAGCUAGCUUUGCCAUGCUGGAAGCCCUCAUAUGGGGUUACGACCAACAAAACUUUAGAAGAAAGGUCAGCGAUUGAGCUUGUGAGGGGAGUUUUCAUGAGAGAAAACUUGAUACUGGGUGGUACAAAGUUCUCACAGUCAUAUUUGAGUUUGAAUGGAACAAAAAAAGAAGAUAUAUUGGGAACCAAACAAAAUUUGACCCAACUGUCUGUGGACAAAAAAUGGUCAAAAUAACUUCUUUCCUGAAAGAAUGUCAAUAGUCAUCUAUUUAAAAUGUUCCCUUAAAAGUUUAUUUAAAACAUGUGCCAAUUUAAUGCAUGCUAAUAUUUUAUUGUACCUUAACAUAUGUGUAUUUAAAAUCACAAAGCUUAAUUUUUCGACAAUUUGCCACUAAGCCGCUCAUAAAUGCGCAGACACAGAAUGCUUUUAGCAAGAGCCAACACACAUAUACACAACCACAAGAGUGCAACCACAGCUUCUUCCACACACACGCUCUCCUGGCAAAGCUCCUGCUGAGCUCAAGCAUCCAGUGAAUCCACCCAGCACCGCGUAUCCUCUCUGACUCGGCCACGGCCUGCACUGGAUGACACCGGAUUAUUUUCAUCCCACAAACUUGAGCCCGACUGCCAGCAGAGGAGGAGACGCCACACAGCCUUUCCUACCGAAAUCCAGAUGUGCACAAACAACAAUGAAAGAAAGUUCAUUCCCGUGUUCUUAAGUGUCCAAGCAAGGUCUGUUAUUAACAUUUUUCUUUGUUUAGGAAUGGGAGAGGAUGUGCAUAGCUUUCGCUCUGGGCCGCAGUCCAGCGCAUACCUCGGCGAUAUCGUCUGGGAUUGUAUAGAGCAGGAUGUGGAUACAAUGAGCCACGGGAUGCUGACGCUGGACCGCAGCUCUGUUUACCAUGCACACUUUCUACUGCGUCUGAUGCAGAAACUCAGAGCCCAGAUCAGCCAGUGCAAAUAGUCACUGGAAUGAGAGAAAAAACAUUUUUAUUCUCUUAACUUGAAACAAGUACUGUAGAUCAGAUGGAAGGAUGGAGGGAUGGAUGAACAAAUAGACAGAUACACAGACAGAACAAUAAAAUGACUGAUAGACAGAUACAAAUAUAGAAUGAUGGAUGGAUGGACAGAUGAGUGGAUGAACAGAUACAAAGAUAGAACAAUGGACAGAUGGACAGAUACAAAGACAGAAUGAUGGAUGGAUGGAUGAAGAUACAAAUACAGAACUAUGUGUGGAUGGAUAGAUGAAUGGAUGAACAGAUACAAAGAUAAAAUGAUGGUCGGAUGGACAGAUACAAAGACAGAAUAAUGGAUGGAUGGAUGGACGGAUGGUUUGAUGAAGAGAUACAAAGACAGAAUGAUGGAUGGAUAGGUGGAUGGAUGGAUGAAUGGACAGAUAGAAAGAUAGAAUGAUGGACAGAUGAAUGGAUGAAAGCUACAAAGACAGAAUGAUAGAUAGAUAGAUAGAUAGAUAGAUAGAUAGAUAGUAAAUUCCACUUCCACUCCUGUGCUCUUGAUUAAUCAAGUUGUCAGGAUUCUGUGUGUCGAGAGCAGGAGGAAUGAGGAGGAAUGAACUAAUAUUUCAGAUUGGCACACUAAUGAGACCCUGGUGAUGGAGAGAGACAGAUAGAGAGCUCUAUUAUUCACACUCAAGAGAUUAUGUAACAGGAGCUGAGAGUGAGCUAUGAGUUUAUCCAUCUUUUCUCUCAUCUUCGGCUCUAAAACUCUUUCCUCUUCCAUCCAACUAAUAAGUUUAUCUCAGACUAUGUUCCAAGUAAAUAGCCUCACUGUCUUCUGUCUACAAAAUAGGAUAACUGCUAAGUAAGUUGGUGUUUUAAGUAGGACGUAGGGUGGCCAUCGAUCUGGUUCUAGGUCGGACAGACCAGAUUUGAAAUACCAUGUCCAUCUACCAGUGCAGGCGUGAGCCGGAUGCUCAUUUGUCAUUCUUUCUUUCCUUUGUUGAACACAAAAGAAGAUAUUUUGAAGCAUGUUGGGAAACAAACAGUUGCUAACAGCUACUGACUUCCAUUGCACCCCCCCCCCCCCCAGUUGGAACAACUUGAGGAUGAGUAAAUGAUGAAUUUUUUUUAUUUUGGGUGAACUAUCCCUUUAAGAUUGAAUGCCAUUCAUUCAAUCAGUAUUUCACCAUUCAUUGCAUCUCUGAUCAACAUGUGGAUGUGUUGUUCCUGAUCAAUUCACUGUUUUUGAGUCAAUAAUUCAAUAAGCCGGCAUUCAUAAAUGCAUCUAAAUGCCACUUCAGAUGCAGCUUCUGUGUCACCUCUGCAAUGCAAAGAUGGAUUUUGUUUAUAUUAAUUUUAUUUGAUUGGCAUUCACCCUUAAGUGUCUUAUUAUCCAAAUUGCAUUUAAUGAGUAAAUCUAAAAAUCUACACUGCUGUUCAAAAGUUUGAGAUCGAUGUUGGAAACAGU